rnacentral:rRNA from 1 species
AGGGGUUUGAUCAUGGCUCAGAACGAACGCUGGCGGCGUGGAUAAGACAUGCAAGUCGGACGAGGAAUUACAUGAAGCUUGCUUUGAGUAAUUCCUAGUGGCGAACGGGUGAGUAACACGUGAGCAACCUACCCAGAAGCAGGGGAUAGCCCACCGAAAGGUGGAUUAAUACCGUAUGCGAUCCCGCGGAGCAUUCCGUGGUGAUUAAAGGCGGGGAUCCUUCGGGACCUGCCACUCCUGGAUGGGCUCGCGGCCUAUCAGCUAGUUGGUGAGGUAAAAGCUCACCAAGGCGACGACGGGUAGCUGGUCUGAGAGGAUGAUCAGUCACACUGGAACUGAGACACGGUCCAGACACCUACGGGUGGCAGCAGUCGAGAAUCAUUCACAAUGGGCGAAAGCCUGAUGGUGCGACGCCGCGUGGAGGAUGACAGCUCUAGGGUUGUAAACUCCUGUCAUGAGAGAGUAAAGGCUUGCCGUUAAUAGCGGUCGGGUCCUGAUAGUAUCUCAAGAGGAAGGGACGGCUAACUUCGUGCCAGCAGCCGCGGUAAUACGAAGGUCCCAAGCGUUGUUCGGAAUCACUGGGGCGUAAAGCGUGCGUAGGCGGCUUGGUAAGUCAGAUGUGAAAGCCCAGGGCUCAACCUUUGGAACUGCAUCCCGAUACUGCCCAGGCUAGAGUAGUGGAGGGGAGUCUGGGA